UACGGAGGGUGCAAGCGUUAAUCGGAAUUACUGGGCGUAAAGCGCAAGCAGGUGGCUGAGUCAGUCGAUUGUGAAAGCCCUGGGCUUAACCUGGGAAUUGCAGUCGAUACUACUCGGCUCGAGUAUGGGAGAGGGCAGUGGAAUUCCCGGUGUAGCGGUGAAAUGCGUAGAUAUCGGGAGGAACAUCAGUGGCGAAGGCGGCUGCCUGGCCCAAUACUGAUACUCAGGUGCGACAGCGUGGGGAGCAAACAGG
rnacentral:rRNA from 1 species